ensembl:lncRNA
AUUGCUGCGUCUAGACAGUGUCUGGUAUGAGGCCUCCCUCUCCCGCGCCUCCCCAAGGCUCCCUUUCCCAGCGCUGCCGGCCCUGCCCCAUGCCCUGCGGUUCCCACACCCCUUCCCUUCUUUCUGGCUGCCCAGGGUCCCCGUUCUGCCUUCCUCCUGCUCAGACCCUACACUUCUCUCUCCUUCUCCCCCUUCCAUCUUCAGACACACUCACCCUAUUGGGUCCCCAGGCCUGAAAUCCAGGGAACAAAAGUGGAUUUGCAUUUGGCUCCAGUUGGCAGGCCUUGGAGAAGGCCGAGUCCAGCCAACCCUCCUGACUGUGGACUUGCCCAGGAUCCCAGGCGGUCCACCUUGCUGAAUUCUGGGCUAACCUGGAAAGCUCUGGGAUUCACCCUGCUCCCUCCCUCAUCUUUCCACCCAUGCUUGGAUGGGAACCCAGAGGAAUCACCAGAGGUCCAAGGAAGAACCUUCUGGCAGCUCUCACCAUCAGUGAGGGAUAGACUGCUUUCAGGAAAUGCAGGGAGUGGGAAGUGGAUUUUCACAAGUUCUAAGAUUUGUCCCUGCCCCCGCUCCGAUCAGUCAUUCUGGAAGGUUUUCCAGAAUCUGAAGUCUCCUCACUUCUCAAUUCUAGGAUCAGAAUUGAGACCCUAGUGGUGAUUCUGAGACAGUAAUAAUAAUAGUCGGCCCUCUCCCUGCACCAGGGGCCUCCCGGGUGGCUCAGUGGUUAAGAAUCCACCUGCCAAGCAGGAGAUACGGGUUCAAUCCCUGGGUCAGGAAGAUCCCCUGGUGGAGCAACUCACUCCAGUAUUCUUGCCUGGAAAAUUCCACGGACAGAGGAGCCUGGUAGGCUACAGUCCAUGGGGUCACAAAGAGUUGGACACGACUGGAGAAUUGAGCAUACCCUCCCUGAGACAAGCAUCAUACAGGAUGAGGAAACUGAGGUCCAGAGAGGUUAAGUCACUUGCCCAAAGUAACAAAGCCAAGGAAGUGGAGGAGCCUGGAUUUGAAGCCUCAGAGGAUGGCUCCAGAGCCCCAACAAUGAAUAGCAAUAGGAGUAUUAAAUGCUUACUGAGUACCUGAGGCUGCAUUUAACAUUUUACUUGUGCUGUGUCCUUUAUCCUCACAAUAGUGAGUAUAGGCUCCAGGGUUAUGCCCAUUAUACGCAUUAAAGGAGAAUAGCCCAGGGCUGCUGGGUGUGGCCAGAUGGUGACCUAACUCUGUUAGAAAGGCCCAGUAAUCCCUGAGCUGCACGUGAAAAGCUUGGCCUGGAGCAGGAGCUCAAUAAGUGUUGCUAUUUCAUUUCCCACUUCUUCCUUCUGGGUUUUCAUGAGCCCCAGCUAGGCUGGAGAAGACAGUGUGGGACUCUGUCCUCAUGAUACCAUGGCCUAGAAGAGGGACCUGGCAAACCCGUCACUUUCAGUGUGGAGGGGAAAUUAUGAUGACGUGAGUGAGGCAAGACCUCUGGGAGACAAGAGGAGGGACCCUGAAUCCAAGAAGGCUUCCUGGAGGAGGUUGAAUCAACACUGUCUAGGAGAAUGAGUAAGAGUUGGGCAGGUUAAGUGACUUCCCUGGUGAUCCAGUGGCUGAGACUGUGCUCCCAAUGCAGGGGGCCCAGGUUCGGUCCUUGGUCAGGGAACUAGAUCCCACAUGCUGCAACCAAGAUCCGGAGAAGCCAAAUAAAUAAAUAAAUAGUUGGUCAGGUUAAGGGGGAGGGAAAGUGCUCCUGGCAGAGGGACCCACACGUAAGAAGGUCUCGAAGUCCAGGGUUAUCUCAGAGAACCCGAGAUCUCUAAACAGCUUUGUUGGACUGAACAGAUGCAAGGAAGUCAAGGAAGGAGCCAGGUGUUCACACCUUCCACCCCAGCUAGAGAUGAAAGGAGGACACUCACCAUUCAGUACUCACCCAGGCCAUCCAUCGACAGAAACGUCAGAUAGCGCAUCCACGCCUGAUCACCUCUCUCGGCUGCUGGGGGAGCCCACACAAGCAGGCGCAUCGAUGAGCUCCCGGCCUGCCAACUCUGGGCCUGCCUCAGACUGAUGCAGCUGGGUGGUGGCUUCUCUGGACUUCGCUUGAAAGGCGUAGCCUGGACCUUGCCGGGAGCCAUGGGUGCAGAGCACGCACCUCUGGCCUCUAUCUUGAAACACUGGACUGUGGAUCUGAUGCUGGGAGUUCAGACUGGAAAAGGAGAAACAUAGGAACCAGCAGGCGAUAUAAGGCCAGCGGGGAUGGUCUGGGAGCAGUAACGGCGAAGAUCACGGAGGCCCACCGUCCUGCACUCCAAAUCCCUGGCUACAUAGGUUCAGAACUCAGAAUUUCCCCAGUUGUAGGAGGAAAGGAUUACACGUAGACCACAUAUCUCCUAACACCCCCAGUGAAGUGUGGGGCAGCCCCUGUAAUCAGACGUGUUACCAGGCCUGCGGCAAAGCCUACGAACAAAGACACAAAUCCUCUCUGAAGCUCAGUUUUCUCGUCUCUAACGUGGAGCAAUGGCUGUACCAGGCUCACAGGGUUGCCCUGAGAAUUUGAUGCUUCCCGUGAUACCGGCCAGCCCGCAGGAGACACAGGUUCUUGGCCUGCCCCGAGCCCUCUGGGGCACGUGCUGCUCCUUUCCGGAAUAUUCAUCCCUAGAUGUCUCAGGAGAUAGCUCUCUCACUUCCUUCAGGACCCGCCCCAGCAGGACUUGCCCUGUCUAUCCCCGUCUCCUCCCGCCCCUGUUCUCCUUUGUCUUCCUUCCCAACCUCUAUCAUUUGAAGUAUCACUUAAAUCAAUUACUCCCUUGUUAAUUGCCUGCCCUCCUGCAGUAGAUUCCAAGCUCCGUGUAGUCAGGACUCUGUGCUGUCGCCCACUUUGCCCC